GUGGUGAUGUAGGAUCUGUGGUGAUGUAGAAGGGCAGCAGGGCAGCAGCCUCAACGCCACAGGUAACCGCUGAGGAUGUUUAAAAAGGACACCACCAAUAGCAGAGCACUCUAUUGCUGCAAUUAUAUGCAGCGUGUGUGUAUGAUGUUGUUGGGUUGUUGAAAUGGCCCGUG